ACUUUGGAAAACAGUUUGAUAGUUUCUGAAAGUUUUAAACAGAGUUACCAUAUGACCCAGGAACUUCACUGCUAAAUAUGUAUUUCAAGAGAAAUGAAAACUUAUGCCCACACAAAAACUUGUUAUAGCACUAUUCGUAAUAGCCAAAAGUAGAAACAACUCAAAUAUGUAUCAACUGAUGGAUGGAUAAACAACAUAUGGUAUACUGUAUAAUGGAAUAUUAUCUGGAAAUUAAAAGGAAUAAAGUACUUAUUCAUGCUACAAUACAGGUAAACCUUGAAAGCAUUAUGCUAAGUGAAAGAUGCUAGUCACAAAGGACCACA
rnacentral:lncRNA from 1 species